AGAGCGCCAGACUGGGCAGAGCUGCGCUGCGCCCGCCCUUCUCCAGCUCUCGCUUCCGGCAGGGGGCCAAGAUAAUAUAUACCCCGGGGCCCUGCAUACCCCGGGGGCCCUCUCCAGCUGCGCGCCUAGAGCUCUGGACUUGGGGUGGGUGGUUUCAAAGAGUAUCUCUUCCAGCGGCGGAAAUGGGAAGUGAAGGGGAGUCAAGGUCGGCAGCGCUGCAGCUGCAAAAUGGGGGCUAAGUGCUUCAGGGACUGAGCGCAGCCUCGGAGACGUCGGGGAGCCGCUCGCACCGCCUGGGCGCAGCGCGGGCGCAGCCGAGUCCGAGGUGCCCACCUUGCAAGCCGCUGCCGACGCCGCUCAGGCGCGGGGCUGAGCACCCAGCUCGCAGCUCCCUCGGACCCUUCGCCGCCCCGCGCGGCGGCAGCCCCCGCCUGGCUCUCCUCGCAGCGGCCGGAGGAAAGUUCUCGCUGCCCGCCUCCGCUCUGCUUCCGUGCCGCGCAGCCCCGCACAGCCCGCCUCUGUCCGGAGAGGGGCUCAGGCCGCCCGAUCUGCCCGGACCACCCGGUCGGCCCCGCCCCCACCCCGCCCGCGAAUCGGCCGCCCCCGCCCUCUCGGCCCCGCCCCCACACCACAGCCCGAGCUCGCUCCUGCGCGUGCGCUCUCCCGGACCCGAGUGAAUAGUCCUCGCGGGGGUGGGACACUGAGGGUCUCACUGUGCAGUUCAGGCUGGCCUUGAGAUUACUUUGUAGCCUGGGCUGGUCUCCAACUCACAGCGAUCCUCCUGCCACAGCCUCCUGAGUGCUGGGAUUACAGGCGUGAGCCACCAUGCCCGUUGUAUUGCUUGAUACAACUACUGUGCUGGGUGAACUAGGAUGGAAGACGUAUCCAAUAAAUGGGGUGAGUUUACGUAUGUUAAAAAUGAAAAAGGCAAAAAAAAAUUCUCAUCCUCAUCAGGUUUUAGGGACUUGGGAUAAAUGAAAAAACAGAUUUUUGGUACUCUUUUAUAUCCUUUUUGGUAUAAAGUUUAAAAUCAUGUGAAAAGAUUAAACUAUAAAUGACAAGUUGAUGGCACUUAUAUGUAAACAUUCUGUUUUCUUCUAUAUUACAGUAACUGUUGUGUUUUACACAUAGUAAUGUUAGAAUUCUGCUUAUACAAAUUUUCCUCAGAAAUAAAUUUUGAUAUGUAAUAUCAGGACAUUUUUCUUUAUAAAUGUUACAUAUGGUAAUUAUGAAUUUGGAAAAAUAAAACUAAGUUUUAUAAGCAGAUUGUAAAAAUAUUAACAAUUUGGAUUUUAAUACAUUAGGACUCUACUAAAAUAGUAUUUUAAUUUGGCAGAAAGAUACUUCGUGCUUAGGUUUUUGUUAACUGGAAAUAGUUGCUUUUGAAAGCUUACAAAAAUGUAUAAUUUUUGUAAUACUGUUUUCCAGAAAGUAACAUCUUACCUAUGAUAGUACUUGAAUUAUGUUUUAUCUUUUCUGCAGCUUUUCAUAAUACUUUUUUAUAUCAACCUAAAAUGAAAGAGCUCUUUUGAAGAUUUUUAGUUUUUUUUUUUCUAUUUAAAAAAAUAUUCAGUGAUAAAAACAGAUGUUUUCUGCUACAUCUCUUUUAACUUUUUCUCUUGGAAAUUGUAUUUUCGUAUCAUAUUCUUUGUUGAUAUUAUUUACCUUGUUUCUUGUAGUAUAUCUCCAAAUUUAAAUCUGGAAAUUAAAUAUAAUUUUAAUUUUUUAUCAUCUUACUAAAAUGUUGUUUGAAUUUAAUAUUUUAACCAAAAGUUAUUCAUUAAAUGUGCAUUUUUAAAAAUCCUAUGAAGAGUUGAAUCUUCCUCUCUUUAACACCUUAUUUGCUUUAGAUUUAUUUUAUAUUCUGUGAUUUUAUUAUUUUUUAUUUUCUUUUUUCUAGUAGAUAGUCCAUUAAACUACCUCUGAAAAAUAACCUUUUAAUGUAAGAUGUGAUUUUUUCCUUUUUUAAUGAAAAUUAGUAACCACCAAUAUGUAGUGUUUGUCAUUAAGAAGUUAAUGAAUCUUUUAUGUGGUAUACUCUUUCAUUAUCUAUAUAACUUGAAAAAAUAUGUAUUUAUAUAUAUUCUCAGUAAACAAAACAAUUUCUAAGUUCUUAACCAAUAAGUAGAUAGUUCAGAACUCCUAUUUUUUGUUUACUAUAAAUAGAUAAAAUUUUACCACUGGCUUCAUAGUAUCAUAGAUAAAAAUCAUUUGUGGGGGAAAAAGCUUUUGAUCUUCUCUGCUAAUUAUGUGCAUGUUGAUUAAGCUUUAUUUCAGAGAAAACUGGUAGCCAGGAGAGGCAUAGACUUACAGCCACAGGUGAGAUUGCCGCUGUCAGUUUGAUUUUUUUCCUAAACUACUUUUAAUGUGUUAUGGAGAGAUAGGGCAGAAUUGUUUGAGGAAGUGUUGCUUACGCUACAGUUUUCUGUUUGAUAGACAUAGUCCCUAACAUUUCACAUUUUAUCUUUAGCAAUGGUCCUUUGAAUUAUGCCUUACUUCUGUUUCUCCAGUGGAGAAUCCCAGUUAUAAAAAAAAAUAACAUAAAAUACCAACAGAUAUUUGGUGUUUUAUAAUAACAAUAGCUAAGUAGUGAAUAAUAAAUUCUCAUGCUAAGAUAAUUCUGACUCAUGUGGGAGUACUUUUCACUUUUGUGUUAUAUUUGACUAAUUUAGAUUUUUCCCAUUGAUAAUUUUAAUGGUAGUAUAAAAUACACAGUUUGGGCACUGCAUGUUAAUAUUACCAGAAGGAAAAGGAGGACUACAGGAAAGAGAAGACUGUAUUAGAAAAUAAAUGACAAAGUAAAGGAAAGUGUGAUCAAAAUUUAUUAUUUAUCACAUACUAGACUUUGCUUCAAACAUUUUACUCACAUUAGUCCUAUAUAUCAAGUGUAACUUAUCCUAAUUUAUAGAUGCAAAAUUUAAACUCAGAUAUGUUAAAUAAUUUUUGCAAGGUCACAGAGCUAGGAAAUAGUACAACAAAAACCCUUAGAGAGACGUGCCCUAAUCUGGAACACUUAUGGAUGGUUAUUUCACAGCAAGUUAUUUUUUACUUUUUCUAAGAUUCUGCUCUGUAAGAAUAAAGAUUGAUGACCUGUGAAAUCAAAUUAUGGAGGGGGGAACUAACACAUGAAUUCAAACAUUAAAAAGUAGGUUAAAUACAUAAUUAAAUUGAAAUAUUAUGGAUAAUAUGAGCUAUAUUACUUCUAGAUUAUCCCCAAGAAACAUAUAUGGAAAUUGUUAACAGUAGGAAUAUUUGAAAACUGGAGAACAUGGACUAAUUUUAUAACAUAUGUAGAUGAGGCAGUAUAACCUAAUCCUAACCUUAAAUAAAAGGGAAUAGAGAGAAAUAGUAUUUAAGUUAUUAUUUGUAAUGAAGAAAAUUAACUAUUUAAUGGAGUUUUCCUUCAUGCUACCUACAGACUAAAACAAGCAAGGAAAUAAUCACUAAGAAGGAACUUUAAAAGAAACUACUAAAAUGCAAAAGUUAAAAUAAUCUAGAUAUAAAAGAUUAAAUAACUUAAAAGUCCAUGGGGCCCAUAUAUCAGUUUAUAAUAUUUAAACUAUUAUUGAGACACACUUUAAAAUUUUUUCAUUAAAUGUAUUUGAAGUAGCAUAUAAUUUUAAAAUUCCCUUUCAUUGACCCAUGCUAAUUUAAGUGGCCAUUUUUAACUAUUUUAGACACAACUUCAGUUGGAUUUAUGAAUAUCUUGUGAGUGACAAAACUAUAGAAUCAUAGUAGAGAAUUUGUAGUGUAAAGUUUAUCUCAUGUUUCUGUGAAAAUGUGUUUUCUAGGAGUAUUUUAGUUGGAAAUAUUGUCUUAAUGUAAAGACUAAAACUAUUUGUACAGACCUAUAAAGCACUACGUAAAACAUAGGAAAUUAAUUCAUAUUUCCAUAGGUCAGUCUGUGUCCCUCUACCUUUCUCUCUGCUCUCCAUUUAAAGUAGCCAUUUGGACAGUGGUAUCCUGCCAUUGGAGUUAUUUGGGUAGAUAUUCAGAGCAUGCCUGUGAACAAAAUCAUCCCUGGCUAUUUUAUUAGGAGUUGAGCCACUCUUUUUAGUAAAUUUGGAAAAUAAUCCUGAGCAAAUAGCAUAACUUUAGGUUUCAAAAGUGAAAACAGAAUAUAAUAAUUUUCUGAAACAUUUUCUUGUGUCACCAAUUACUAAAUAAUUCAUUUUAAAAAGUAUUUCCUAGAACUUAAUUUAGCCAAGUUGUAUAUUAUGUUACUUUGUGCCAUAUGCCCUGUUAGUAGACUUAUAAGAGAUAUUCUAGCCUAAAACAUUCUUGGUUUUUAGCAAUCAGACUACACAACAGAAAGUGUCCUCAUGUAGUUUUUUGUAAUUUUUUGUGAAAGAAUAUUAAGAGGAAGAGUUAAUUAUGGUGAUAGAAAAUUGAGAGUGAGGAGAAAAAUAGUCACCUCCUUUUUAUAAACUCUGCAACACAUCUGGAAAAGAGCCACCUUUUCAGGGAAACGGAAUGGCUGGCUCAAAGGUAUGAAAAUAUGAAAUGUGCACUCUUUAUGUGCAUUAUUUGUGACUCCUGUACAUCAGUUCUUACAGAAUUCUUAGUGAACAGAAAGCUUUAGUAAUGCUGAGAGUCAUUUGUCUGGCCAGAAUGCGAGGAUCUGGUAAAAAAUUAGGCUGUGAUCAUGGGCAAAAUUAUGCAGUGAAAGAAUUUUAAUAUCUUAGUUGAUCUAAAUACUACAUUUCUCAGAUCCAACAAGUAAGAGUAAAAAAUUAAAAAAAAUAACCUUACUGGAUAUUGCAAAAAUUACUGAAGUACUGUAUCCUUUUGUUUAAUACAGUAAUUUAGGCUCUCAGAAAUGAAUGACCCUCUUGGAAAUUGGAAAGAAAAGGUGCUCAAAAUACAGAUCACAUGACAUUGCUGAUAUUGGGAAUGAAGUAAAACUGACUAAUUUCUGAAGAUUAUGGUUGAAGCUUAGUUUUAUAAGAGAUAAAUACAUCAGGGAAUUUAGGAACUACUGUUCCUUAAAUUUUCACACUGUAUUCUCUUUUGCUUUUUGUUUUUGUUUUCUGCCACCUUUUUUUCUCUUAAAUAAAAAAAAGAAUUCUGUGUUGAAUAUUUCAAAAAUACUUACAAACUCCAGCAAAGUAAUAUGAUAAAAAACAAAAGAAUGUGCAUAAAUAAAUUUUUUCUUUAUAACACAAUAGGUGUUCUAAAUUAAUACUGAAGCAUUUUUACGUCCAUUAAAUAUAGGUGAAUGCUUUGUGUUUGUGUUUACUAUGAAGAACUAAUCCUAAAUUUUACUCUAGUAAAUCCCAAAUCUUACUCUUGUAAACCCUAAAUCUUACUCUAGUAAAUCGUAAAUCUUACUCUGAAAAAUUUCAAGGACUAGCUUUAGUUCUUUAAGACUUCUAAAAAUGAGAUGAUUUUAAUGCUAAUUAAACGAAAACACAGAGACACACAGAUCCAGUGUAUGCAGUAACAUUGUAUAGAAUAAGAAAUUGAAGAAUAUAUAUCCUUAAAUUAUUCUUCUGUUCUUAAAAUAAAUAAUAUGUGUUUUAAAACAUUAACUCUUGUGUCUAUUCUUUUCUUUUUGAUUUUUUUACUUAUUUGAUUUAGUUUUAGCCAUUGUAGAACAUUAUAAAGGAUAAAUUAUAGUAAUAGCAACAGGAUCUGUAGUUAAGAAUAAUAUUCGAAAUCCUUAAUAACCAUUACAGAUUAUGCCCCACUUUAUGUCACACAACAGUGAGUAUCUCAUAUUGGAGUACUGUGGCUAUUAACUUGAACUGGUAGUAAGCAGUUGCUCUGAACCAGAGAAAUAGAAGGCUUUUUACAGUAUAGACAGGAAUUUUAUAAUUAAAACUCUAUUUUCUUUUCUUUGAGCUUCAGUAAUUAUGUUUGAUAACUUUUAAAAUUUAAUAGCUAUGUGGUUUUAUUUAAAAAUUUGGUACUGUAAUUAAAAAGAUAAGUGGCUUUUUAAAAAUAGCCAUAUACUGGUUAUUAGGGAUAAUUAUAAUUGAAUAAAAUCUGAUAAUUACUAUAUAUCAUUUCAUAAUAAUUUUUUGGAUACUGUUUAAUUUAUACCUAAAAUUACAUAUAAUACUAUGCUUAUUAUUGACAGAACUUGAUUUUUUUUUAAAAUUUUAUUUAAGGAGAAAAGAAAAAAAAAGCAGGGAAAGGGUACAAGUUAUACAGAUUUACAGAAAAAAAUGAACAGUAGGAAAUCACUAGUUAAUGGAUUACAUAUUGUCAUCUUAGAAAUAAUUGUUCAAGUCACAAAAUUAAAGCUUGUAAAGUGGACAUUCCAUCAAUGAUACUGCAAACAGUUCUGUUCAUUGAGCCAAUAAAACUCUGUGAUAUCAUUUUCUAUCUUAUACACUUAAAUAUACAUGCAGUUAUAUAGUUUGGAGCACUUUCUUUUCCUCUCUUUUGUACCAUGACUAUUACACAUUUUGGGUUUCAUUGCUCCCAUGGUUCUUAUUACUUUUUUGGAAGAGAGUAAAACCAAAUGUGACAUAACAGAACAGAAUCGGUCAAGUCAAAAGGGUGGACAUAAUAGAUAAUGUAAAAACAUAAUACAAGGUGAUCAACAAUGGUUACCAUAAUGCCUCCUGCUAUCUCUAAUAGAAUUGCCUAUAUCGUUAGUUAUAAUACAAUUGAACAAAACAGUAAAGAAUAAAACCGACAAAACCAAAACAUUGGAGACAUUGUAGGUCUUCAAAAGUAGAUAAAAGUCAACAAGAAUGGGCGUCAUAAUGAAUCUCAUUAUCUUCACAGCUGAUGCCUAAACUUUCGAACCUGAUACUAUCCAGCAAAACAGAAUAGGGGAACAUCAGUUAAAAACCAGAUGGUGAGAGUAAUACAGGGCUUUAAAUCAAGGUAAUGAAAAGUCAAAGUGGGUUACUAUAAUAUAUCCUGCUAUUUUUUUCCUUUAAUUAAAAGGAUAAAGAUAAAAAAGUAAAUAAUGGAGUGGAGAUUGAGAUAAAAGAGGGCAUAACAAUGAAACAGUGCAGAUCAAAACAUAACCAUUUAAACAGAAUAGUGUUUCACCACCAGAUAAUCCUAACCUAAAAGUAGUUACCAUAUUGUCUCUUUCUUUGAAAUCCUUGAGUACAACUUCGUAUACUGUAGCAUUAAGUAUAUCAAAACUAUGUAAAACCAUUCAAGAGAAUGACAGCAUUACAGAGUAUUUAGAAUCGACUAACAGAAAAUGAACAAUGGUUUCUAUAUAAUCUCCUUGUCUUUAAAAGGUUUUUGCUUAUACUAUCGUACAUAAUAAAAUCCAAUAAGAUACAGCCUAUUUAGACCAUUGGAGACAGAAGGACAAAAGCUAGAUGAGACUUCAAAACAAAAUGAUACUAAAUCAGUAUUACCUAUUAAGAUGUCAUUUUCUCCAAAAUAGCUGUUCCUGUGGGAAGCCGCCUAUGAAUGGCGCCCAUUUCCUGCUUCCGGGUUCUUCCCGGCCUGAACAAGCCCGCCAAAUUGUCAUAUCUGCCCAGUUACCCGUGACGCUAGCCUAUCAGCUUGUUAGGCGCGCUUCUCUGUGAUUGGAUACUGCUUCCCCUUAUAAGAGGUUGUUCCUGCCCCCAACGGCGGAAGAGGAACCAACGUUGAGGGUGGCGGACCUUGUUAGGUCCGGUUCGCUGUACGUAAUAAAGUUUGAGAGCUGAUCCUGCUCGAGUUUGGCCUCCUGUCUUCCGCGGCUCCGGUCAUCUGGUGGCCCGUUCGGGAAAAAAGGUAAAAGACUCAGCGACGUGCCUCUUUGGCCGGGAGGUGCGAUUGCUGUCGCCUGCGGUACGACGGAGGACCUGGCCCAAUAACAACGGAAGGCCGCGAGCACCUCUUCUCUUCACCCUGAUCAGCUACGUGAGAUACAGCGGUUCCCGGGACAGGUGAGUACUGGGUCACCUGGGUUGGGUGGACGCACCUAACAGAUUUUGAGCGCCACACGAGUGGACGCCGGUUUUUUUUUUUUCUUUUCUUUUCCCUUUGCAUCUGUUUUGCUUUCGCUUCGCUAAUACAGCCCGACAGGCUUUUGAUAGAGCUCGAUCGGAAUGCUCAGAGGAGCCCGGAGCCACUGCCGAUUGUGGGUCUCCGGAGGACCCUCAGGGCUCUAAUUCUGAUUCUGAUUCGGAAGGUUCAGAAGAGGAGGUUGUCUUCGCUAAACAGGACCCUCCUGCACAGCUUAAAGAGGAAUUCAGGGCUCGGGAAGAUAAAAAGGGGAACCAAACACCCACGAUCACCCCCUUCAGGGCGCCAGGCCCCACUAAGCCCUUCCGCCCUUUGGCAAGUUCGCGACCCAUGGUCGCUCCCUUCAGGGCGCCAGGCCCCACUGCACCGCCGUGGCCGGAAGAGGAGUUGCUCCCUGGGCUGCCACCACAACCUAUGGCACCGCCCUGGUUAGAGGGAGAGCUACUUCCUGGGUUGCCUUCUGCGCCCCCAUCUGGGGAGGGAGGAGGACGUUCCUUCCACCAGAGGGUAUGGUCGCGGCUUCCCUUUGAGUGUUCCGGUCUCCAUGCAUUCCCGGUACAAGUAGGAGGCAGGGGAGGAGGAGGAUAUUAUGAGCCCUUAGAAAUUAAACAACUUAAAGCUAUCAAGGACGCAGUUUCAGCUUAUGGGCCCAAUGCGCCAUUUACCAUGGCGCUUUUAGAGGCAAGAACCUGGAGAAAGGGCCACCCAUGCUAUUAAUCAUUGUCUUGCAGCCUGGGCUGCUUGGGGAAAGCCCAAUAUAUUAAAAACAGACAAUGGUCCUGCUUACACCAGCAAAACUUUUGUAACAUUCUGUCAACAAAUGGAUGUUGUCCUUAAGCACGGCAUUCCAUAUAACCCUCAAGGACAAGGCAUCAUUGAACGGGCACAUCGGACACUCAAGGGUGUCUUACAAAAGCAAAAAGAGGGGAUAGGCCAUGGCCUAACGCCCAAAGGAAGAAUAUCAUUGGCACUCUUUACCAUAAUCAUUCCCCUGCCAUGGAACAUAGCAAUCCGUCCCCAACCGACAAAGGGCUGGUUAGAUGGAAAGAUGUCCUUACAGGACAAUGGAUGGGCCCGGAUCCAGUGAUUAGCUGGACCCGAGGUGCGGUUUGUGUCUUCCCACAGGAACCAGGCUGCGAACCGCUGUGGGUCCCGGAAAGAUUGACGCGAGCAGUAAACUCCCCACCAGUUCCUGAUAAAGCACAGGAGGAUAAGCCCGCGGACACAAGUCAACUCGACCCUUCUGGGAUCGACGCUCAGCGCCCGAGACCAUCUACAAACUAAAAUGUCUGGUUUGGAGCUUUUUCUAUUCUGUGGGUUCCUAUUAAUCACCCCUGUGAUAUGCUCAGAUUCCACAGAACCACCACAAUAUCUUUGGGGUCCUUGGCACCACCCGCCCACAUUGGCACCUUUUUCGGCGGCCUCGCCCGCCUCACCCAGGGUUUACACCAUCAAUCAAACAGUCCUUGACCCUCCAUUUCUCUUCCUUCUGUCCCACGAUUACCUCUUUUUGGAUCCUAAUUGCCAUGGCUAUCCUAGUAGGGCUUGUGGUUAUUAAAUGCUUGUUAGAUCGCCUCAUACAAACUCAGCAGCAGGUUAAGAUCACAGCUAUGGCAGCCAUGCAAAUGGCAGCAGGUGGCCCAUCAGGCCAGCAGGCCGCUGCAUAUCUCCUUCACAUUGCAGAACAUCAGUUAUAAAAGCUGAGUGGGCAAGCCAAUGACGGGUAAGACGGGAGACGUCCUCCCAGUCAACCUAAGACAGGCUCCACUCAGAUAUACAUGGCCUAUAAGGCCAGGGGUCCCUCCCGGAGUCAAAUUAUUGGCAUUGAGAUGCGAGACCAAGGGUACUGCAGUGCCAUCCGCCCCAAAGGUUGGGGGGAAGGCAGGAAUGAAUGUCUAUAUGCAUCCAGGUUCGGUUCACAAAAGCCUGGCCCUGCGAAAAAAUGAACCACUCACCUUGAGCAUGGUCCUGGCGCAAGGAUAUGCACAAAACAGGGUGAUGCACAGCAGGGUAUAGACCUCUACAUUCUCUCAUGCCUCGGCCUACAAGGUAGGCCCACUCCUAGGUGUCUAACAGCAACAAGGUCAUAGACACCUUGGAGGGACCCACAGACCAUCCUAUUUUAAUAAAUAAAAAAGGGGGAGAUGUGGGAAGCCGCCUAUGAAUGGCGCCCAUUUCCUGCUUCCGGGUUCUUCCCGGCCUGAACAAGCCCGCCAAAUUGUCAUAUCUGCCCAGUUACCCGUGACGCUAGCCUAUCAGCUUGUUAGGCGCGCUUCUCUGUGAUUGGAUACUGCUUCCCCUUAUAAGAGGUUGUUCCUGCCCCCAACGGCGGAAGAGGAACCAACGUUGAGGGUGGCGGACCUUGUUAGGUCCGGUUCGCUGUACGUAAUAAAGUUUGAGAGCUGA